AUGAGUCACAAGUUCUGUCUGCGAGCAGAGGUGCUCUGGAGGUGCCGGCCGGCCGGGGCGGCUGCGGCUAACCUGCAUUUCUGGCAGGGUCCCGGGCGGCCUCCGCGGAGCAGUGCUGGUAAUGCUGAGCCCGUGCUGCGGAGGGGAGCAGCCAAGAACAGGACGGUGCCACCAGGGCCCCUCAAUAAAUCUGUCCCCAGCUCCACCUUUCCCUGCACGGAGCCACACCGGUGCCACCUGGAAGGGUGCUGGGAGAGGAAGCUCCCCCAGCGGCUUGCCCGGCUGCUGGAAGGAGCAGGCGGAUCCCAGGCUGCCAGCAGAAGCGGCUGCGGCUUCCCCGGCUGCGAGCGGAGACCCCGCACGGGCUGCAGCCAGCUUACAGCUGCUGGACAGUCGGGACAGUUACAGAAACUUGGUGUCCUCGCAGGUGUUCUGGGUGCUGUGCUCAGACACACCAGCACCCACCAGCCAGCAAAAGCUACGAGUGGCAACAAAAAGCCCCAAACACAUCCCAAAACCAUGGGAGCAGCCGGGCUGGCAGUGGGAUCCUCUCCGGCCCCCAAUCCUGGUGCAAGGACAGGGAGUCACAGCUCGGACCCAGAGAUGCUGAGAGGCAGGUUGGGUUUUAUCUUCCACGGAGCUCCUCUUCACUUUUUUUUCCUUCCUUUUUUUAUUUUUUAUCAUUUUAAGGCAGGAGUAAUAAAUGCUAAAGAUGCAUAUGGAAUUUGAAUAUGAAUGAUAAGAACAGCUGUGUAUAUCUAUUAUGAAUGAACAUAAACAGAAAUGUAUAAACUGAGAUUUUGGGGCUUUUGGAAGAAUUAGUGCCUUUGUUCCUGGAUUUUUUUCCUAUCAAAGUUUGAACCAAAGCCCAUUAGCCUGGACUUUCCCGCAGCCGACCAAGCCAGGAGCUUCAUUUUGUGCUGGCUCUGAGCCACGCCGAAUUCUCCUCAACAGCUCAGUGAGCCCUAAUCCUAACAAAUUUACCCAGAGAAGUGGUUCUCUUAUUACACAGCCUAAUUUGAACGCUUUCCAAGGUUAAUUUCUGCUCCCUCUCCCUCCAAACGCGCCUGCCCCUCCAGAGCCACCUCCCCCCAUCCUGGCCCCCCCGGCUCCCUGUUAGUGCCAGCCCGGGGGGAGCAGCCCCAGCCCUUCCCUCCCCUCCCCUGCCCGCCUGCGAUCAUUUUUAAAUGAGAAAAUAAUGCACCGUGCGCCCCCGGGUGCGGGGUCUGCCCGCAGGGUUUCCUAAUGCUGAGCCACUUCCUUUGCAAAUUAAUUGCAACUUUUGCUGGGUGAAAAUGGCCCUGGAAGCCUGCACCCCACGGGCUCUGCUCAAAAUCUGAGUCCUGAGACUCUUGUUUCUUCCUUCUACCCCCUCUGCGGCCGCCCCCUGGUGCGAUGGAGCCUGCAAGAGCUUUGUGGUGCCCAUUGGGCAUCCCUGUGAUACCCAUGGGGCAUCCCUACGGUAUCCAAAUCGCGUCCCUGUGGUGCCCACAAAGCAUCCCUUCACCACGGGACCAUCCCUGCCACCACGGUGUCCUCCCCGCAGGUCUCAUCCCGCUGUCACGGAGCUCUCCUGGGUGACUCUUGCUGCUCGCUGUCCCCUACGCUGCCGGCCUCUGCUUCCUCUUGCCGA
rnacentral:lncRNA from 1 species